GCGGUGGAGCAUGUGGUUUAAUUCGACGCAACGCGAAGAACCUUACCAGGUCUUGACAUCCCCUGACAACCCAAGAGAGUUCGGGCGGUUCCCCUUCGGGGGGACAGGGUGACAGGUGGUGCAUGGUUGUCGUCAGCUCGUGUCGUGAGAUGUUGGGUUAAGUCCCGCAACGAGCGCAACCCUCGCCUCUAGUUGCCAGCAUUCGGUUGGGCACUCUAGAGGGACUGCCGGCGACAAGUCGGAGGAAGGUGGGGAUGACGUCAAAUCAUCAUGCCCCUUAUGACCUGGGCUACACACGUGCUACAAUGGGCGGUACAAAGGGCUGCGAACCCGCGAGGGGGAGCGAAUCCCAAAAAGCCGCUCUCAGUUCGGAUUGCAGGCUGCAACUCGCCUGCAUGAAACCGGAAUCGCUAGUAAUCGCGGAUCAGCAUGCCGCGGUGAAUACGUUCCCGGGCCUU
rnacentral:rRNA from 1 species